AUGGCUCCCACAAAAAAAGGGUGGUGAGAAGAAGGGCUGUUCUGCCAUCAAAAGAUGGUGACCCAAGACUACACCAUCAAUGACAUUCACAAGCGCAUCAGUGAAGUGGGCUUCAAGAAGCAUGCCCCUCGGGCACUCCAAGAGAACCAGAAAUUUGCCAUGAAGGAGAUGGACACUCCAGAUGUGUCCAUUGAUGCCAGGCUCAACAAAGCUGUCUGGGCCAAAGAAAUAAGGAAUAUCUGAUACCAUAUCUGUGUUAUUGUCUGGAAAACAUAAUGAGAAUGAAGAUUCACUAAACAAGCUCUAUACGUUGGUUAUCUAUGUACCUGUUACCACUUUCAAAAAUCUACAGCCAAUAUGAAUAAGA
rnacentral:lncRNA from 1 species